ensembl:lncRNA
CAACUUGAAUACUUUCCUAUGACUCCAAGAAAUGGUGACAGAACGCUAAAUUCAGUAAGUAAACCCACCUGUUAAAGAAGUAAUGCUGUGGAUUAGAGAAUAGGAUUAGAAAAUGAUAAAAAGAAGAGACAGGGGUUUGGAACUUUGGCCUGGAAAAUAAAAAUUAGUAGAAUGACCAUAAAGACUGGGAAAAGGGAAAGAAAAGAGCAGGCAAGGAGGAAAAUCAAGAUAAAAAAUAAUGCUAAGCUUGGGCAUCAAGAAGGUAAUUUUCAAAAAGUUUUAUUUAAUCUUUCAAGAAAUGUUUAUUGAGCUUUCCAAGUAUCAGGCCUUACUUUAGGUAUUUAAGUUGUAGUUGCUUUCAAAAACUCUCUUUCUUCAUAGAGCUUACAUUCUAGGCUGGGGAAUUCAGGCAAUAAAUAGGAUAAGCAAGUAAAAUGUAUGGUAUGUUGGAUAAUGAUAAGUGGUUAGCAGAGGAAUGAAGUGGGGUCGUGUGGGUAGAGCAUGUAACAUCAGGUGGACUGGGCCAGGAAGACUUUACCGAGUAAGGAUCUGAAGAAAGUGAAGUGAAUAAGCUAUGGUUAUUUUGCUUCCUAGUUCAUGGGGGAAAUGAAAGCACUCAGAAGAACAGUCCAGGCAGGGAGACUAGCAAGUUCAAAGCUUCAUAGAUGGGAGCAUGCCUGAUAUAUUCAAGGAAAGGCUAGGAAACCAGUAAAGCUACAAUGGGAUAAAUGAAGAGGAGGAGAGAAGGAGGGGAGAUGACAAAAAAGACUUUGGAAGAUGUUAAGCAGAGAGUGCCAUAUGACAUACUUGAAUAUGAUAAUUUUAUUGCUGUUUCAACAGAAUCUAAAAAAGAGCAAGGACAGAAAAAGGAAGAGCAGCAAGGAUGCUACUGCACCAACCCAGGUCUAAAAGAAUGGGACUUGAUCCUCUUGACACCAUUUGGAAGAUCAUGUUUAGAAGAACUACAAAAACUAUGCUGGGCUUGUACAUGUCUCAGGACAUAAAUAUGGUUUUCAUAAAGCCCAGAUUGUAUUCCAAAAUAGCCCAUAAGUCCAACAACAGGUGUUAUAUAUUGUACCCUUUUUAAGCACUUUACUUUGAAGAGGGAUACAAAUGAGAGCUUCUGAUGAGAUGACUAGGGAUCUACUGGGCCAGCAUGUCUUGAAGAUGGAGCUUGCUCAUGUGAAUGGCUCAGCAGAUGCAGUGAACUCACAUCCCACUGGAGGCCAUCGCAUGGAGGGGGGUAGCUGUGCCAAUGUUCAUGUGAAGAGGACACUGGGAAUUGAAGGAGGGAUCGAACUCGGGAACUUGUGCUUGCGAGGCAGGCGGCGGAAUCGCUGAGCUAAAUCCCUGGCCCCAUGCAAGUAAUUUUUGCACAUAUCUCAGUUCUUCAGGAACCAGAGAAAGCUUUGUGGUGUUCUUCAAACCAGAAAUUGCUCUACUCCAAAUCCAGAGAAGUCUUUUGGAAUCCCCUUUGCUACAACAACCUUGGAGGGAAGAAAACACGGUUUCUUAGAUUGUCUAUCCAAGGAACACACACCAGCCUUUUCACAGAAAACUGGCAGCUAAUCAAAAUAUACUGUUAGAGGUACAAGUGGUUCAAAAAGACUGAAGACCUAAAAGUUUAAACUUUUUUCUGACUUCCCUGACAAGGGCACUUUGCAGCCCAAGAUCUUGCUUCUCAGCACCUAGCACAGUUUGCCCCCAUGUUUUAGAUUGGUCUUUCUCCUCUAGAAGACUCCAGGAGGGCUGGUGCCCUGACAUAGGCUGAGUGCUCAGAAUUUGUUCAGUGAAUCAACAAAUGUUGAGCAGUUGCUGACAUGGAGGCUGAGAAUUCUCUACAAUUAGCAGAUCAGAUUUGAUAAAAGGAAAUGACCAGUCUGAU